AGUGAGCGAGAGAGGGAGGGAGGGAGAGAGAGUCAGAGAGAGUGAGAGGGACAGAGAGGUUGGGAGAGAGACGGAGAGGUUGUUAGAGAGCGAGGGAGGGAAAGAGAGAGUGUGAAGGACAGAGAGGUCGGGAGAGAGACGGAGAGGUUGUUACAGAGCGAGAGAGGGAAGGAGAGAGAGAGAGAGUCAGAGAGUGAGAGGGACAGAGAGGUCGGGAGAGAGAUGGAGAGGUUGUUAGAGAGCGAGAGAGGGAGGGAGGGAGAGAGAGUCAGAGAGUGAGAGGGACAGAGAGGUCGGGAGAGAGACGGAGAGGUUGUUAGAGAGCGAGGGAGGGAGAGAGAGAGUGUGAAGGACAGAGAGGUCGGGAGAGAGACGGAGAGGUUGUUACAGAGCGAGAGAGGGAAGGAGAGAGAGAGUCAGAGAGUGAGAGGGACAGAGGUCGGGAGAGAGACGGAGAGGUUGUUAGAGAGCGAGAGAGGGAGGGAGGGAGAGAGAGUCAGAGUUAAUGUGAGGGACAGAGAGGCCGGGAGAGAGAUGGAGAGGUUGUUAGAGAGCGAGAGAAGGAAGGAGAGAGAGAGAGAGUCAGAGAGAGUGAGAGGGACAGAGAGGUCAGGAGAGAGAUGGAGAGGUUGUUAGAGAGCGAGAGAGGGAGGGAGGGAGAGAGAGUGAGGGACAGAGAGGUCGGGAGAGAGACGGAGGUUGUUAGAGAGCGAGAGAAGGAAGGAGAGAGAGAGAGAGUCAGAGAGAGUGAGAGGGACAGAGAGGUCAGGAGAGAGAUGGAGAGGUUGUUAGAGAGCGAGAGAGGGAGGGAGGGAGAGAGAGUGUGAGGGACAGAGAGGUCGGGAGAGAGACGGAGAGGUUGUUAGAGCGCGAGGGAGGGAGAGAGAGAGAGUCAGAGAGAUUGAGAGGGACAGAGGUCGGGAGAGAGAUGGAGAGGUUGUUAGAGAGCGAGAGAGGGAGGGAGGGAGAGAGAGAGAGAGGGACAGAGAGAGAGACGGAGAGGUUGUUAGUGAGCGAGAGAGGGAGGGAGGGAGAGAGAGUCAGAGAGAGUGAGAGGUACAGAGAGGUCGGGAGAGAGACGGAGAGGUUGUUAGAGAGCGAGAGAGGGAGAGAGAGAGAGAGAGUCAGAGAGAGUGAGAGGGACAGAGAGGUCGGGAGAGAGAUGGAGAUAUUGUUAGUGAGCGAGAGAGGGAGGGAGAGAGAGAGAGAGAGAGAGGGACAGAGAGGUCGGGAGAGAGACGGAGAGGUUGUUAGAGAGUGAGAGAGGGAGGGGGAGAGAGAGAGUCAGAGAGUGAGAGGAACAGAGAGGUCAGGAGAGAGAUGGAGAGGUUGUUAGAGAGCGAGAGAGGGAGGGAGAGAGAGAGAGUCAGAGAAAAUGAGAGGGACAGAGAGGUCGGGAGAGAGAUGGAGAGGUUAUUAGAGAGCGAGAGAGGGAGAGAGAGAGUCAGAGAGAUUGAGAGGGACAGAGGUCGGGAGAGAGAUGGAGAGGUUGUUAGAGAGCAAGAGAGGGAGGGAGGGAGAGAGAGAGAGAGGGACAGAGAGAGAGACGGAGAGGUUGUUAGUGAGCGAGAGAGGGAGGGAGAGAGAGAGAGUCAGAGAGAUUGAGAGGGACAGAGGUCGGGAGAGAGAUGGAGAGGUUGUUAGAGAGCGAGAGAGGGAGGGAGGGAGAGAGAGAGAGAGGGACAGAGAGAGAGACGGAGAGGUUGUUAGUGAGCGAGAGAGGGAGGGAGGGAGAGAGAGUCAGAGAGAGUGAGAGGUACAGAGAGGUCAGGAGAGAGACGGAGAGGUUGUUAGAGAGCGAGAGAGGGAGAGAGAGAGAGAGAGUCAGAGAGAGUGAGAGGGACAGAGAGGUCGGGAGAGAGUUGGAGAGGUUGUUAGAGAGCGAGAGAGGGAGGGAGAGAGAGAGAGUCAGAGAGUGAGAGGGACAGAGAGGUCGGGAGAGAGACGGAGAUAUUGUUAGUGAGCGAGAGAGGGAGGGAGGGAGAGAUAGUCAGAGAGAGUGAGAGGGACAGAGAGGUCGGGAGGGAGACGGAGAUAUUGUUAGUGAGCGAGAGAGGUUGUUAGAGAGCGAGAGAGGGAGAGAGAGUGAGAGUGACAGAGAGGUCGGGAGAGAGAUGGAGAGGUUGUUAGAGCGAGAGAGGGAGGGAGAGAGAGAGAGAGAGAGAGGGACAGAGAGGUCGGGAGAGAGACGGAGAGGUUGUUAGAGAGUGAGAGAGGGAGGGAGAGAGAGAGAGUCAGAGAAAAUGAGAGGGACAGAGAGGUCGGGAGAGAGAUGGAGAGGUUAUGAGAGAGCGAGAGAGGGAGGGAGAGAGAGAGAGUCAGAGAGAGUGAGAGGGACAGAGACGUCGGGAGAGAGACAGAGAUGUUAGAGAGCGAGAGAGGGAAGGAGAGAGAGAGAGUCAGAGAGUGAGAGGAACAGAGAGGUCGGGAGAGAGACGGAGAGGUUGUUAGAGCGCGAGAGAGGGAGGGAGGGAGAGAGAGAGAGAGGGACAGAGAGAGAGACGGAGAGGUUGUUAGUGAGCGAGAGAGGGAGAGAGAGAGAGAGAGAGGGACAGAGAGGUCGGGAGAGAGGUUGUUAGUGAGCGAGAGAGGGAGGGAGGGAGAGAGAGUCAGAGAGAGUG